rnacentral:rRNA from 1 species
UACGGAGGGUGCGAGCGUUGUCCGGAAUCACUGGGCGUAAAGGGCGCGUAGGCGGCGCGGGGAGUCAACGGUGAAAGCUCGGCGCUCAACGCCGAGUCGGCCGUCGAUACUCCCCGUGCUCGAGCACUGUAGUAGGCAGGUGGAAUUCCGGGUGUAGGCGGUGGAAUGGCGUAGAGAUCCGGAAGAACACCGGUGGCGAAGGCGGCCUGC